CGGGGUGUGGCGCAGCGGUAGCGCACCUGGUUUGGGACCAGGGGGCCGCCCGUUCAAAUCGGGCCACCCCGACCU
rnacentral:tRNA from 1 species